rnacentral:tRNA from 1 species
GGGCAAGUGGCGGAAUUGGUAGACGCACUACACUCAAAAUGUAGCGGGCUUACGCUCGUGAGAGUUCGAGUCUCUCCUUGCCCA